rnacentral:rRNA from 1 species
UACGUAGGGUGCGAGCGUUAAUCGGAAUUACUGGGCGUAAAGGGUGCGCAGGCGGUUCUGCAAGUCAGGCGUGAAAUCCCCGGGCUUAACCUGGGAACUGCACUUGAAACUACGAUGCUGGAGUAUGGCAGAGGGAGGUGGAAUUCCACGUGUAGCGGUGAAAUGCGCAGAUAUCAGGAAGAACACCCGUGGCUAAGGCGGCUCUCUAGUACGGUACUGACGCUGAGACGCGAAAGCGUGGGGAGCGAACAGG